CCUACGGGAGGCAGCAGUGGGGAAUAUUGGACAAUGGGCGAAAGCCUGAUCCAGCAAUGCCGCGUGAGUGAUGAAGGCCUUAGGGUCGUAAAGCUCUUUUACCAGGGAUGAUAAUGACAGUACCUGGAGAAUAAGCUCCGGCUAACUCCGUGCCAGCAGCCGCGGUAAU
rnacentral:rRNA from 3 species